UACGCCUCCUUCAUCUGCUCUUCUCAGCAGGCUCACUGGGCAAGUGGCUUUUUGACUCUCUUCUACCCAUGAGGAAACCAAGCUUCUAAAAGGACAGGCAAUUUGCCCGAAGUCUUGCUCCUAAUAAGUAGCAGCACCAGGGCUAGAAAUGUCUUUGUUCCUGUGGCUGCAUUCCUGAGACUGUAGCAGACAUACAGAUAUCCUUCAUGAAGAAAUACGGGGUCCCCUCAACAAACAUGAGACCCACAGCAGGAUGCCAGAAGGAACUCUGGUCAGAAAUGCCUCUCCAGAACCCAUUUUCCUGAAGCUUAUCCCUGGGCUAUGGUGUACUCCUGAAGUGGCAGAAACCUACACAGAACGCAACUACUCCGUCUCCUCCUGACUUGGCAGAUGUCAGACUUACUACUUCACCAGAUCAGAGUUCGGACCUGAUCCUUCCUUCCUGUUUCUGAAAAUGGAGGAAUGGGGAGGGCAAGGCGGCAUCCCGGAGCCACCCCUACUCCCUGCUGCCUUCUGUGAAUAGAAUGAUUCUAAAGGUGCCACAGUCUCCUGCACUGUCUGAAUGGUCACUAUAAUGCAAAGUGUUACCUAGACAGUCCUGUAAUGCUGCAGGUAUAGAAGACUGGGUUAAGUCUGUAAGAACCAACAACAUACCUGGAAGUUGUUUUUUAUUUUAAUUGAAAUAUAAUUGAUGUACCAUAAAAUUCCACCCUUUUAAUUUGU